rnacentral:rRNA from 1 species
CGCAAGUGUGAGCGAGCAGGCGGGGUAAUCUGGGGGGUGCAAGUGGUAGCCGGAGUCACUGGGUUAAAAGGGUGCGGAGGUGGCUUGGGAAGGAAGUGGUGGAAUCCCCGAGCUUAACUUGGGAACUGACAUUGAUACUAUCAGUCUUGAAUACUGUGGAGGUUAGCGGAAUAUGUCAUGUGGCGGGGAAAUGCUUAGAUAUGACAUAGAACACCAAUUGCGAAGGCAGCUGGCUACACAUAUAUUGACACUGAUGCACGAAAGCGUGGGGAUCAAACAGGAUUAGAUACCCCGGUAGUC